GACGAACCGUGCGAACGUUAUUCGGAAUCACUGGGCUUAAAGCGCGUGUAGGCGGGAGGGCACGUCCGUUGCUGAAAUCCCCCGGCUCAACCGGGGAAGUGGCGCCGAUACGACCUUCCUGGAGGGACGUAGGGGGACCUGGAACUUCCGGUGGAGCGGUGAAAUGCGUUGAGAUCGGAAGGAACGCCCGUGGCGAAAGCGAGGUCCUGGACGUUUUCUGACGCUGAGACGCGAAAGCCAGGGGAGCAAACGGG
rnacentral:rRNA from 1 species